rnacentral:rRNA from 1 species
AUUGAACGCUGGCGGCAUGCCUUACACAUGCAAGUCGAACGGUAACGGGCCUUCGGGUGCCGACGAGUGGCGAACGGGUGAGUAAUACAUCGGAACGUGCCCGAUCGUGGGGGAUAACGAGGCGAAAGCCUUGCUAAUACCGCAUACGAUCUACGGAUGAAAGCAGGGGACCGCAAGGCCUUGCGCGGACGGAGCGGCCGAUGGCAGAUUAGGUAGUUGGUGGGAUAAAAGCUUACCAAGCCGACGAUCUGUAGCUGGUCUGAGAGGAUGAUCAGCCACACUGGGACUGAGACAAGGCCCAGACUCCUACGGGAGGCAGCAGUGGGGAAUUUUGGACAAUGGGCGCAAGCCUGAUCCAGCCAUGCCGCGUGCAGGAUGAAGGCCUUCGGGUUGUAAACUGCUUUUGUACGGAACGAAAAGCCUUCUUCUAAUACAGGAGGGUCAUGACGGUACCGUAAGAAUAAGCACCGGCUAACUACGUGCCAGCCGCCGCCGUAA